AGGGCGCGCCGCGUCCCGUCCGGUCCCGUCCCGUUCCGUCCCGUCGGGUCCCAGCCCCGCCAACUCUCACCCUGCCCGGCCCUUCCAGCGGAUCCACUUGCAGCCCCCGACCCCUGACUUGGUCCCCGAGGUCGGGGCUCGGUGGGAAGGAAAGCGAGGGGCUUCCCGGAAAGAAAGGGAGGAGGAGGCAGGAGGAGGCAGACGCCGAGAGAGGAGAAAAGGAGGCCAGAGGCAGAGGGAAAAGGAGGAGGGCAAGAGAAUCCUAGAGCGGGAAGAGCGUGGGCUCUGCGGGACGUGGGCGAGAGGUUACCAGGGAAAGAAUGGACAUUGACGGCAGAGAGCAAGUUUAGCCUGGAGAGGAGGAAUUGAGUGAGCAAAGGGGGUAGUCUGGGGUGCGAUGCACAGAAAGGCCCGUCCAGGGUAACCUUCACGUCUCCGUAUCCGUUGCUGUCGACUUUCCAGAGCCUUUGUUCCCAGUGACGUCCCUAUUGCAAUGGAGGGACACACUUCACUUUCCCCAGCCCCCCACCUCGAGAAUUUCUCUCACCCUCCCACCCUGCGGGGCCGCAGAGCUUGCUCCUCACGGCAGGAGUUGGAGCCCUGACGCUUGCCUUCACCUAGUUUUUGUUUGGUUUGGUUUGGCGUUGAUGGGACAAAGUCAGCCAAACUACUUUGCCAUCAGCAGAGAAGGUUCAUCUAUGUGAAGAAUAUUUAGGAGGCCUAAAUAUUCAAGGAAAGGAACUUUGACUUGACCUCUAGGAAUCACUUUCAUCUGCCUCCCAGAAAGAGGAAGCCAAAUGGCCAGCCAACACAGACCACGUCUAGCUCUGAGAACUUCCUCUUUAAAAGCGAUCUCUUAAUUCAGUGUUGCAGAAAUUCCUGGAUCGAUCUAUUUCCCUAGGAAAUAAUAAGUAAUAGGAAAGCAUAUUCAUUCUUAAUUCUUUAAUUCACAGUGAACAAGAGCAAAUGCCAUGUGGUAAACUGCAUGUUAUUUAAUAAGAGUGGUAAAGUUAGACAAACUGAUCGAUUAUGUGGUAGUUAUUCUUAAAGCAUAUUUAUUGUCCAUUCUGCAUUACCUAAUGGAACAAAUGACUCCUUUAAUAUAAAGAAAUUACCUGAAAAGCAUGUAUUUAAGAUAAUGUCAAUUCCGCAUGUUUCUUUUGGCUGAAAAGAGAAAAAGAACUAGAAAAAGCAACAGAUUGAAUUCCUCUGAAUGAGUCAGAAGAGUGGGAGAUGUGUAAAAAUCAGGACGAGGGUGACAGCGGGAUACCAGAGUCCUACCUGCAUCAGUCCCAUGGCCUCAGCCCAUGUGAUCCCCACCUCCCUUGGAUACCAGAUUUCAAGUGAAUGAGAUGCUGCUUUAUCCAAUCUACUGACUUUGGAAAAUCCAGCUGAAAUGAGGAAAGAUAAUCGUGCAUGUCUGGCAACCAGGUAAUUUCUUUCCUAUCUUUCAUGUCACAGUAUUUUGAGGACACAAAUUCCUAAAUACUCAGAAAAAAAUGGUUUUAUCUUAAUUGAUUUAUAAAUUAUGUUAGGGUAGUUGUUAAACAGAAUUUUGUCAAAGAAGCAGUACACUGUAACACUUUCAGGCUCCCAUUGGUUUAAAAUUUGAUAAGUGUAUUUCUUUGCUGACAAGUCAAACUGUUCAAAUGUUAUGGAGGACUAAAAAGGCCUGGGAUUCACAGGCUCAUUUUUUGUUUUAACUGAAUCAUGAAAAUACACAACUUUUUUUUUUCCAGGAAAGACAGAUGUUAUUUACCACCAAUGAAUUUUUAUCAUAUUUAAAUGAACUUGAAAAUGUCAUUCAACUCAAAUCCCUCAAUCAACUUACUUCAGCCCAUUCUGAAACUUCAUAUUGCAGCAAACCAGCCAUGUGAAAGAAAUAAAUUCAAUUUUGACUUUCAAAAAAAAUAAAUGCUGCAUAAGUUACCCUUGUGGACCUUAGCUAUUAAGGUGGACAAUGACUUUAUUUUCUUUACGUAAGUUUUAUAUUUUAUUAUGACAUUCAUUUUUUCUACAUGAAGACACAAAUAAAAAUUAUACCAACUACAUAAACUAUUUU
rnacentral:lncRNA from 1 species